CCGGAGCCGCGGGUUGCCGACCCCUGUGAUAGACCCACAGGACGCCACUUUCUCAAAGGCAAGUCAUCAGGCAGCAAUUAGCUGGUGAAGAGUGUGUAGCAAUUAGGAGCUAAAAAGCAGGAUGUUUUAUCAGGACGAAGAGUACAACAGAGAUAAAAGGCAGACAACAUGUCUGCGCGAUGUGCCCAUUAUGCGAGGAGACAUUUUCCACCCUGGUCCCGGGAGAAUCCAGAGGAGGGGGGGCAGGUAUCAAUAAUUCACAGGAGGCGAUUAUUUUGAACACGGCGAGAUGUCCGAAUGCACUCGUGUAAUCCUAAAAAACACAGGUGUGUAUUUUUUGGGGGGGGAGAUCAAGCCUCAGAGGACAGAGGCUGUACAGCGUUGAUCCUCCCUGCUCUCCACCAAGAUGAAAGAGACAAAUAACAUCAGUCACAGAGCAGCUAUCAUGAGGCACUGUGAAGUGGAAAUCGCAGGAGCAGAGCCCGGUCCAAAGUGAAAGCCUUAUUUUUUGUGUUUUUUUAUUUGUGAUUUCCUUACGUUCUCUCUGAGACGAUGUUAACAGAUGCACACUUUGCCUUUUUGCAAGCUUCCUUACAAUAAAAAAAAA